rnacentral:lncRNA from 1 species
CCCAAUCGAAAUCUAAGAAACCCUUCAAUCUCUCAUCCGAUAUUUCUCUCUAAUCUAAAAAACUCCUCCGAUCUCUUGGGUUCUCUUGACUGACCUUCUCUGUAGAUCUCCGACAAAAGAAAGAUGAGAAGGAAAAAAAAUCAAAAAAAAAAACUCAAUAGGGUGGGAAAAAAAGUCAUACCUUCUAAUUUUUUUCACCUUUCUUUUGCUUUCGAAGCCGCCUCCUCUCACCCUCCUCGCUUAGACGAUGUCUAAGAUUUUGCCCGUCAAAGAGGAAAGCUUAAACAUCGACAAUGGCCGAAAAGCCAUCUCC